rnacentral:rRNA from 1 species
AGUGAACGCUGGCGGCGUGCUUAACACAUGCAAGUCGAACGAGAACGGGGUAUAGCUUGCUAUAAUUGUCAGCUAAGUGGCGCACGGGUGAGUAAUGUAUAGGUAUAUGCCUCUUACUAAGGGAUAACAAAUGGAAACGUUUGCUAAUACCUUAUACUCCUUAUUAACAUAAGUUAAUAAGGAAAAGAUUUAUUGGUAAGAGAUUAGCCUGUAUUGUAUCAGUUAGUUGGUGGGGUAAUGGCUUACCAAGACUAUGACACAUAACUGGUUUGAGAGGAUGAUCAGUCACACUGGAACUGAGACACGGUCCAGACUCCUACGGGAGGCAGCAGUGGGGGAUAUUGCACAAUGGACGAAAGUCUGAUGCAGCAACGCCGCGUGGAGGAUGACACAUUUCGGUGCGUAAACUCCUUUUAUAUGAGAAGAUAAUGACGGUAUUAUAUGAAUAAGCACCGGCUAACUCCGUGCCAGCAGCCGCGGUAAAAC